AAAAUUGUAUUUUCAGUGAAAAAUUAUUCAGAUAGUGUUUGUAAUUUUUUUAAACAGAAAUCUUGGAAAUUCGAAACUAACGUAUUUCUUAGCUCUACCGUACAUUUUUGAAUAGGCGCAAACUUGAAAACGCGCGAGACGUUGGAAGUGGGAAUUUGUAGAGUGGAAGAAUCAGUAUUUGUGAUCUAUUAUUUGCAUAAUCACUGUGCCGUUUUCGUAUUGCAUAAUUUUAUUUCGAUCGGGUUCAAUAUUCUGUUUAUACUAAUUAUGGUAGCCAUGCGGUUUGCCUGGCGUUUUGGUUGUUAAGUUUGGUGAUGUUGGCCUCCCUAAGGAUUUUUCACCCUCUCACAAGGUGUGUCCAAUAAACAGUACAGUCACUGAUCUUUGUCAACUUUUUAAGAAAAUAACAGAAUAUGAAGAAGGAAGACUAUAUAUAGGAUCAAUCUACUUCAUAACUGGAAAAAGAGAAGCAGUUCACAAAUGUUGAUGAGCAGAAGACAAGAAACUCUGGCUGCACAAAAAUCUGAGCUCUUGAAAAAGAAAGAUAAAAAGAAAUGAAAAUAUGAAUGAUAUUCAAUCAAAGGAUCCAAAUGAUGAAAUUCUGGAAAUUCCAGAUGGAGAGACAAUAAGGAUUUUUGAAUUGACCAUCUCUGCUCAAACUGCUUGAAAGCACUGAAAACUGUUACCCUGGUGCUGAACAAACUUUUCUCCUAGACUGGAAUUAAAAACUGUUCAAUUUCUGGCAUUAAAACACAAUUUGAAACAUGCUGAGGAUUAGGAUCCCCCUCUCCUUUUGACCAAGUAAGGUUAAACAUUCUGCAAAGAGUUGCAUUUGAAUUGAAAUUUUUUAUACUUAUACCAGGAAUGAACUACAUUUCUCAUUUACUAUGGUUUAAUGUGUCAGAAUUGUCUAUUUUAAGUUUUUCAACAAAG